AUUGAACGCUGGCGGCAGGCCUAACACAUGUAAGUCGAGCGGCAGCGGGAAAGUAGCUUGCUACUUUUGCCGGCGAGCGGCGGACGGGUGAGUAAUGCCUGGGAAAUUGCCCAGUCGAGGGGGAUAACAGUUGGGAACGACUGCUAAUACCGCAUACGCCCUACGGGGGAAAGCAGGGGACCUCCGGGCCUUGCGCGAUUGGAUAUGCCCAGGUGGGAUUAGCUAGUUGGUGAGGUAAUGGCUCACCAAGGCGACGAUCCCUAGCUGGUCUGAGAGGAUGAUCAGCCACACUGGAACUGAGACACGGUCCAGACUCCUACGGGAGGCAGCAGUGGGGAAUAUUGCACAAUGGGGGAAACCCUGAUGCAGCCAUGCCGCGUGUGUGAAGAAGGCCUUCGGGUUGUAAAGCACUUUCAGCGAGGAGGAAAGGUUGAUGCCUAAUACGUAUCAACUGUGACGUUACUCGCAGAAGAAGCACCGGCUAACUCCGUGCCAGCCGCCGCAGUAAUAC
rnacentral:rRNA from 1 species